rnacentral:rRNA from 1 species
GAUGAACGCUGGCGGCGUGCCUAACACAUGCAAGUCGAGCGAUUCUCUUCGGAGAAGAGCGGCGGACGGGUGAGUAACGCGUGGGUAACCUGCCCUGUACACACGGAUAACAUACCGAAAGGUAUGCUAAUACGAGAUAACAUACUUUUAUCGCAUGGUAGAAGUAUCGAAGCUCCGGCGGUACAGGAUGGACCCGCGUCUGAUUAGCUAGUUGGUAAGGUAACGGCUUACCAAGGCGACGAUCAGUAGCCGACCUGAGAGGGUGAUCGGCCACAUUGGAACUGAGACACGGUCCAAACUCCUACGGGAGGCAGCAGUGGGGAAUAUUGCACAAUGGGCGAAAGCCUGAUGCAGCAACGCCGCGUGAGCGAUGAAGGCCUUCGGGUCGUAAAGCUCUGUCCUCAGGGAAGAUAAUGACGGUACUUGAGGAGGAAGCCCCGGCUAACUACGUGCCAGCCGCCGCCGUAACAC